UACGUAGGGUGCGAGCGUUAAUCGGAAUUACUGGGCGUAAAGCGUGCGCAGGCGGCUUUUUAAGCCAGAUGUGAAAUCCCCGGGCUUAACCUGGGAACUGCAUUUGGAACUGGAAGGCUAGAGUGUAGCAGAGGGGGGUAGAAUUCCACGUGUAGCAGUGAAAUGCGUAGAGAUGUGGAGGAAUACCGAUGGCGAAGGCAGCCCCCUGGGCUAACACUGACGCUCAUGCACGAAAGCGUGGGGAGCAAACAGGAUUAGAUACCCUGGUAGUCCACGCCCUAAACGAUGUCAACUAGGUGUUGGGGAAGGAGACUUCUUUAGUACCGCAGCUAACGCGUGAAGUUGACCGCCUGGGGAGUACGGUCGCAAGAUUAAA
rnacentral:rRNA from 1 species